CUGCGUGAAGUCGGAAUUGCUAGUAAUCGCGGAUCAGCAUGCCGCGGUGAAUACGUUCCCGGGCCUUGUACACACCGCCCGUCACACCAUGGGAGUUGGUAACACCCGAAGUCAGGUAGCCUAACCGCAAGGGAGGGCGCUGCCGAAGGUGGGAUCGAUGACUGGGGUGAAGUCGUAACAAGGUACC
rnacentral:rRNA from 1 species